rnacentral:rRNA from 1 species
UACAGAGGGGGCAAGCGUUGUUCGGAAUUACUGGGCGUAAAGGGCGCGUAGGCGGCCCGCUAAGUCGAACGUGAAAUCCCCGAGCUCAACUCGGGAACUGCGUCCGAUACUGGCGGGCUUGAAUCCGGGAGAGGGAUGCGGAAUUCCAGGUGUAGCGGUGAAAUUCGUAGAUAUCGGGAGGAACACCGGUGGCGAAGGCGGCGACCUGGGUAGAGACUGACGCUGAGGCGCGAAAGCGUGGGGAGCAAACAGG